UGUCUCUCUCAGAAUAUCGUUAUUGUUUUCAUAAUAAUUUGACGAACAAUUAUCCCAUAUUCGAUGAUCGAAUAAUGAAUAUUAUUCGGCAUGUUUGCAGUAUAACGGUUUACCCGACGUUAGUAUACAAGGAGAAAUAGUUAGGCAAUUUGUACACACGCGUGUAGCUUUGUGAGUAAACACCAUAUAUUAUUAUCAUGUUCAAUAGCUGAAGCCGCCCAUUGGGUA